GUUUUUUUGUUUUUAUUUUUAAAGAGUAAACUAAGCAGAGAAUGUACAUUAAUAAUAGAUUAAUCAUGUUAACACAUACACAGAUCACAACAUGACAAAAAUAUAUAUUUGGGAAACUAAAAAUAUUUGUCUGUUAAAUGUUCUGCUUACUUAUGUAAAAUCCGAGUGUGGUGUAUUUGUUGUGUGUUUAUAUCUGUGUAUGUAUAGUUUACAUAACUAUACUUUUCCAUUUAAUAAAAUGUUAGGUCUUCAGACAUUGAGAUUUAAUUGAAUAUGUAAUCACUUGCAUCUCAGCAGGAACCAGAAAAAAUCCAGAGAUUUAACAUUGAAGUCAAGGAGAUAUUGAACACUUGAGAGUAUCAAAAAAUCAGUCAAGUAGGAACUUCAGAUGACUGUGAAUUGAGACAUUUCUGUGAUCAGAAAGAAAUAUCACUCUUAAAGAAAAGAGGCAUCAGAUGAUUCUUUAAGCUUUGCUUUUGAUGGCUUUCUAAAGCACUGUUUUGUAAUGGGGUUAGCUUGAAAUGUAUUUUAUGAGAAAAAAAAGAUAAUUAACAUAGAUAAAAGCUUAGAGAAGCUUAUGCUGCAACUGUUGAAACUGAGGAAACAAAUAUUUAGUCAUUCUCUAAGUUGGCCUAACAGAAUAGGAAGUACUACAUGGAAAAUUUAGUUGGUCUGGAAGAUAAUCAACAGUAUUUUAAUUACUCAGCAGUUCCUUUAAGAAAUUAUGGCAAUACAAUCAAAAAUUUGUAUGUGUUAAUUCCUUUGAAUUUCUCUGUGUUAAUUCCUUUUCCUGUUUUCAACUCCUUGUUUUCUUUUCAUAGUUGUGAUAUAUCUUGUCCACAGUUUUUUUUAGUAUUCCCGAAGCAUUUUCUACUUAAUGUCUUGGCAAAUCACCAUGGUGCUGACCAGUUUGGCUGUUCUCUGAAAUCUCAGCUCACACCAGAUGGUGAGCCUCAACUGCUGCUGUGAAACAGGACUGGAACCAAUGCAAGCACCAGUAGGCUGGAGAGAGCAGCAGAUAUAGAUUCAAGAGAUUGUGUGUUCAUCUGGCCUUUUCUCAGGUAAGAAAAAAGCUGUAAAACAGAAAUGAAAGCGUCUUUUGCUCCAGUUGUGAAGGAGAAAAAAAAAAUCUCAAGAGAAAAUGAAAUUAAGGCAAGGGCUUACAUUAUGCUAGUUUUUUAUAAAAUGUGUGUGUCUGGAAAUAGCUUGUGUUCUUCCCCUGCUACCAUCAUAAGGAGAGAUGAGAAGAAGAGGUUCCUCAUCUCU